rnacentral:rRNA from 1 species
GAUGAACGCUGGCGGCGUGCCUAAUACAUGCAAGUCGAGCGAACAGACGCGGAGCUUGCUCCUCUGACGUUAGCGGCGGACGGGUGAGUAACACGUGGAUAACCUACCUAUAAGACUGGGAUAACUUCGGGACACCGGCGCUAAUCCCGGAUAAUAUAUUGAACCGCAUGGUUCAAUAGUGAAAUACGGUUUUGCUGUCACUUAUAGAUGGAUCCGCGCCGCAUUAGCUAGUUGGUACGGUAACGGCUUACCAAGGCAACGAUGCGUAGCCGAACUGAGCGGGGGAUCGGCCACACUGGAACUGAGACACGGUCCAGACUCCUACGGGAGGCAGCAGUAGGGAAUCUUCCGCAAUGGGCGAAAGCUUGACGGAGCAACGCCGCGUGAGUGAUGAAGGUCUUCGGAGCGUAAAGCUCUGUUAUUAGGGAAGAACAAAUGUGUAAGUAACUAUGCACGGCUUGACGGUACCUAAUCAGAAAGCCACGGCUAACUACGUG